AUUUUCUUCUUUCUUUCUUUCUUCUCUUUUUCCUGAGGCGAUGAAGGGCGGUGAAGAGGCUGGAGAUGUUUCAUACAUUGGAAGACAUUAGACCGCUACCAUGCUGGGGCUCUGCCUUGAAUAGUCCUUUGGAGAGGAGGGGACAAACUCAUGGACGAACUCAUGGUGUUUGUCCAGUAGCCAAUCCAGGUCAAGUAAUGAAUAUCCACUUCACAGGUUGCAUAGCUCAGAAACUGAGGAGUCUCUCCAGGUCGAACCAUUAUUUCUCCACAUUGAGAGAUUUCAGCUUUGAUACUACAAAACAUGUGAUUAAAAUAUUGCAGGAAAGAAUCACACAUGACAGAUUCUUCAAGCCGACCCAACCAACAGAAAACCUGAGAGAAGAUCAAAAACGAGAUGGUUGGAUAAUAUUCAUAAUGCCAGAUGGUCACUCUUAGGAAUCCAGCCAGAAAGUCUAAUGACAGUUGUUUGUGAUAGGACCCUAUAGAAGAGGUGACUCACCACUCUACUUCCAUGACCUUCUCAGGAAUAAUGGGCAGAGAAAAUGGCUGGAUAAGAGGAGUGGAUCGAUGGAGGAGUGGAUCGAUGGAGAAGUGGAUCGAUGGACGGAUGGAAAGUAAAGAACUUGGCUGGUUAAUUUUCCAAUUAAAUUUUUUAUUAUCAAAUUACAUGUUACACGGUAUAAUAUUUUAGCUACAAAAGAACAAGAAAAUUACUUAAGUUACUUCUUGUGAACGAGAAAAUUACUUAAAAGAAAAAAGCAAUCAAAAUAAAAGAUACAAAACAUAAUUUAAGAGAUACAAAAAGAAACUAUGUAAAAAUAAAAAACAUUUGAAACAAAUAAGGAAAAAAAAA